rnacentral:rRNA from 1 species
AUUGAGUUUGAUCCUGGCUCAGGAUGAACGCUGGCAGAGUGCCUAACACAUGCAAGUCGAGCGGCAGCACGGGUAGUUUACUACCUGGUGGCGAGCGGCGGACGGCUGAGUAACGCGUGGGAACGUGCCCCAAAGUGAGGAAUAACUGCCUGAAAGGGUAGCUAAUGCCGCAUAUGCUCUUCGGAGUAAAGUAUUUAUACGCUUUGGGAGCGGCCCGCGUCGGAUUAGGUAGUUGGUGAGGUAAAGGCUCACCAAGACAACGAUCCGUAGCUGGUCUGAGAGGAUGAUCAGCCAGACUGGAACUGAGACACGGUCCAGACUCCUACGGGAGGCAGCAGUGAGGAAUCUUCCACAAUGGACGAAAGUCUGAUGGAGCAACUCCGCGUGCAGGAUGAAGGCCCUCGGGUCGUAAACUGCUUUUAUGAGUGAAGAAUAUGACGGUAACUCAUGAAUAAGGGUCGGCUAACUACGUGCCAGCAGCCGCGGUAAAAUC